GAGUUCAUGCCCUUAGGGGUAGACCUCCCACCCUUGAUUAUCUUACCACUGUUGCUUUGGCGGGCCGCUUCAGCCACUGGCUUCUAGCUAGUGAGUGCCCGCCAGAGGACCCCAAACUCUAAAUUUUGUAUUGUCUGAGAACUAUAUAAUAGUUAAAACUUUCAACAACGGAUCUCUUGGUUCU
rnacentral:misc_RNA from 1 species